UUGCCGAACAUCCUCGCCACUA
rnacentral:miRNA from 1 species